UGCUGUCUCUGUGGUAUAGAUGUGUCUCAGAAAAAGUGAGGAACUUGCCCAAGCUCUCACUGUUGGUGAGUUGUGACGCUGGGAUUUGAAUCCAAGCUUGCCUGGUAAUGGCACCACCCACUUCCCAUAUUGCCACUUCGAUAGUUCACAGGAAAGUUUGUACCAAGUUCAUCUCAUUUAUUUAUUGAGUCAUGAGGACCUUGUCACUUGGUCUAAGCCGGCGCUCAUGGUUCUCAGUUCUUUAAGAUGAACAACAGGCUCUUCCCAUAAUAGAGAUCAGCAUGGAGGGCAUGACCCAUUUUUCUCUCUUGCAUCAAGACUGGCUAUUUUACUGGUGGAAGACAUGACUCUGUACAACACGAAUAUCUGGCAAUGUCUCUGCUUCGUGGCUCUGGCUGGGACUGGAUAGUGGCAGGCAUUCAGUUUCUUCCAUCUUGCCUCUGACAGGGAUGUGGUUGGGCUGUGAAUCACUAUUUUAACACUUGCACACAGAUGUGUGAGGUUGGACGAUACAGGAGUCUGAAGUGGAGUAUGAAGAACAGACUAUCUCCCAGAAAGCACAGUGGCUCAGGACUUCCAGCUGAAGGUCAGGAACAGUUGCCAGUGAAACAAAGGGUCCACAGCAUCACUCUGAUCUCUGUUUUCCUUUUACCAGCCCCCAUGGGUGUUGCUGCCAGCAGCUCACAAUUGGACGCCUCUUCAGAGAAUUGUCCUUGGGCCGUUGGAGCUGCCUAGCCCGGUGGGGUCUGGGACUUAUGCCCUGACUCCCUCUGUCAUCACUCGGGGCACACCGGAGCCAAUGACUGGCCAGUUUAGGACUCAAAAGACUCACUCUCUCAUCUCAAGAAUCACCGUGUGAGAUAGACACCUUCAGUGUCCCCAUUUGACAGAUGAGGAAAUUGAGCCUGGAGAGAUUCAGAACUUACUGAGGUCACACAGCCGAUCAGGGGCCGAGCUGGGCUUUAAACCCAGGCAGAACUACUCAAUAUACUGGACUCUUUAUUCUACAAGUGCAGCCUCUCAGAUGGUGUCCUUAUUGUUUGGGAUGUCUGUCCUCACUCCCCACUCCUGUUCUGUUUCCUUUGCCCUUCUUAAAUAAACUCAUUGUUGAAAAUA